rnacentral:rRNA from 1 species
GCGUGCGCUCGGGCUGGUCGGCCGUCAUGGUCUGUACCGUUCGGGUCACGCCCCACUGUAGGAUACUCACCGCUGUUCUUAACUGGAUGGCGGUAAAAGGGUGACCGUGGAAAUAAAUUUUCAGGGGUAAAACUCUGGAACGCGAUUAUCUGGGGUUCCUACUCUUUUACUUUGAGCAAAUUAGAGUGUUCAAAGCAGGCAAUCGAGCCUUGAAUACUUCAGCAUGGGAUAAUGGAACAGGACUGGGGUCCUGAUUUCGUUGGUUUCUGGGAUCUCAGUA